GUAACACGUGGGUAACCUGCCUGUAAGACUGGGAUAACUCCGGGAAACCGGGGCUAAUACCGGAUGCUUGUUUGAACCGCAUGGUUCAAACAUAAAAGGUGGCUUCGGCUACCACUUACAGAUGGACCCGCGGCGCAUUAGCUAGUUGGUGAGGUAAUGGCUCACCAAGGCAACGAUGCGUAGCCGACCUGAGAGGGUGAUCGGCCACACUGGGACUGAGACACGGCCCAGACUCCUACGGGAGGCAGCAGUAGGGAAUCUUCCGCAAUGGACGAAAGUCUGACGGAGCAACGCCGCGUGAGUGAUGAAGGUUUUCGGAUCGUAAAGCUCUGUUGUUAGGGAAGAACAAGUACCGUUCGAAUAGGGCGGUACCUUGACGGUACCUAACCAGAAAGCCACGGCUAACUACGUGCCAGCAGCCGCGGUAAUACGUAGGUGGCAAGCGUUGUCCGGAAUUAUUGGGCGUAAAGGGCUCGCAGGCGGUUUCUUAAGUCUGAUGUGAAAGCCCCCGGCUCAACCGGGGAGGGUCAUUGGAAACUGGGGAACUUGAGUGCAGAAGAGGAGAGUGGAAUUCCACGUGUAGCGGUGAAAUGCGUAGAGAUGUGGAGGAACACCAGUGGCGAAGGCGACUCUCUGGUCUGUAACUGACGCUGAGGAGCGAAAGCGUGGGGAGCGAACAGGAUUAGAUACCCUGGUAGUCCACGCCGUAAACGAUGAGUGCUAAGUGUUAGGGGGUUUCCGCCCCUUAGUGCUGCAGCUAACGCAUUAAGCACUCCGCCUGGGGAGUACGGUCGCAAGAC
rnacentral:rRNA from 1 species